GUUUAUCUCAGUGCAGCUUUUAGCAACGAUAAAGAUUCAUUAACUCUUAGAGUAGACCAAGUCACAACAGGUUGUAGAAAAUGCUCUUUCUGGGCAGAACUCAUCCUCUUUUAAUUUAAAACCUAUUCUGGCGCUUGAGGACUACCUUGAAUAUUUGCGCUGUGAAACUUACGAACUCUGUUAUGCAAAAUCACUCCUUAUUGAACCCAAAUCGGGCCCCAGUCCCACUGAAUCUUUUAAGCAAUUAAAGGGAGGCGAAGAGCAACUUCAGAAACCUGAAAACUAGGAGUUACUUUAUAUUAAGUAAUUAUGUUAAAGAUUCAACCCAACUUUGAGGAUAAUUGCGCUCGUUAUAUGUUUUAUUUCUUGUAAGUAUAUAAUAACAUUCAUGGUUAAGUGGAUAUAUGAAAGGGUCGCAACCUUAUCAUCCUUUGUUAGAAUUUUAUAGCUUUUCUUAUACAAGAGGAUUUUUGAAAUAAACUGAUC